ensembl:lncRNA UCA1 urothelial cancer associated 1
GCUGACUCUCUUUUCAGACUCAGCCCACUUGCACCCAAGUGAAUUAACAGCCUUGUUGCUCACACAAAGCCUGUUUAGGUGGUCUUCUAUACGGACAUGCUUGACACUUGGUGCCAAAAUCUGGGCCAGGGGGACUCCUUCGUGAGACCGGCCCCCUGUCCUGGCCCUCAUUCCGUGAAGAGAUCCACCUGCGACCUCGGGUCCUCAGACCAGCCCAAGGAACAUCUCACCAAUUUCAAAUCGGAUUCCCAGCCAUAUGAAGACACCCUAGCUGGACGAUCAGUCCUUGUCAAAAGUCUGACCCCUCAAACUCUACAGCCUCAAUGGACCAGACCCUACCCGGUCAUUUAUAGCACACCAACUGCCGUCCAUCUGCAGGACCCUCUCCAUUGGGUUCACCAUUCCAGAAUAAAGCCAUGCCCAUCAGACAGCCAGCUUGAUCUCUCCUCUUCCUCCUGGAAGCCACAAGAUUAGGCCGAGAGCCGAUCAGACAAACAACCUACAACCCUUAAGCUCCUGGCAGCGCCCAGCCAAGGCCAUGCUUCCUUGCAACACUCCUUCCAAAUGGCCAUCCCAGCAUGCUUCCAAGCAGGCUUCAUCCGUUCCUCUGGACCCUCAUCUCUUAAGACCUGCCGCCUAUAAAAAGGAUUAUAUCUUGAGACCCUAUCCUCUAAAAUUUUUUCCACACCCAAAACAAAAAAUCUCUGGGUCAAAAGUCUAAAACGCUUAGGCUGGCAACCAUCAGAUCCUUGCCCAUGGUGUCCUCAAGCCUACUCUCAUGAAAUGGACAACAGUACACGCAUAUGGGGCCAGUUCCACAUAUUUGGCAACCAGACCAGCAUCCAGGACAACACAAAGUAUGUUGUUUGUUGUUAGAGGGCUUGGGACAUUUCACUCUUUGCCAGCCUCAGCUUAAUCCAGGAGACAAAGAUUAUUUUCCUUAUUAUCUCUUCUGCAUAGGAUCUGCAAUCAGAACUAUUGAACUUCUCCAUUCAGACCGCCACUCACACCUAUGGGAAAAGGGUAAUGUAUCAUCGGCUUAGCAACAGGGAAUACUAUUCGUAUGAUGGAAAAUGGGGACAAAAGGCUUUGGUACAUAAAACAUUAUUCCUUCCUUGGCCUAAAAACUCAUCGCCACCUACAUUAAAGCUAAUAUGCC